AUUGAACGCUGGCGGCAGGCCUAACACAUGCAAGUCGAACGAGUGGCGGACGGGUGAGUAAUGUCUGGGAAACUGCCCGAUGGAGGGGGAUAACUACUGGAAACGGUAGCUAAUACCGCCUACGAUGGGAUGUGCCCAGAUGGGAUUGGCUAGUAGGUGGGGUAAUGGCUCACCUAGGCGACGAUCCCUAGCUGGUCUGCCUGGAUGACCGGCAACACUGGAAGUGAGACGAGGUCCAGACGCCUACGGGAGGCAGCAGUGGGGAAUAUUGCGCAGUGGGCGCAAGCCUGAUGCAGCCAUGCCGCGUGUAUGAAGAAGGCCUUCGGGUUGUAAAGUACUUUCAGCGAGGAUGCGUUACUCGCAGAAGAAGCACCGGCUAACUCCGUGCCAGCAGCCGCGGUAAUAC
rnacentral:rRNA from 1 species